rnacentral:rRNA from 1 species
CGUCAAACGUAGGUGAACCUGCGGAAGGAUCAUUG